UGGCUCUCGCAUCGAUGAAGAACGCAGCGAAAUGCGAUAAGUAAUGUGAAUUGCAGAAUUCAGUGAAUCAUCGAAUCUUUGAACGCACCUUGCGCCCCUUGGUAUUCUGAGGGGCAUGCCUGUUUGAGUGUCACCUAAUCAUCGACCUGAAUCUAUUUCAGUGCUCGGAAAUUGGAGCGGUGCGGGUGGCCUCUCUCACAAGAGGGGAACCCGCUCCUCUUGAAAGCUAUUAGCAGAAAUGUUUGUGCUGCAGACCUGACUUGGCGUGAUAAUCUAUCUACAUCGCCGUCCAGGAGUGCACAUUCCAAACCUUAUGCUUCCAACCGGUUGCCCCCCAUGCAACAGUUCAUUUCUGACAAUUGGACCUCAAAUCAGGUAGGACUACCCGCUGA
rnacentral:misc_RNA from 1 species